GACGAACGCUGGCGGCAUGCCUAAUACAUGCAAGUCGAGCGAACAGAUGAAGUGCUUGCACUUCUGACGUUAGCGGCGAACGGGUGAGUAACACGUAAGGAAUCUACCUAUAAGCGGGGGAUAACAUUCGGAAACGGGUGCUAAUACCGCAUAAUAUCUUCCUCCGCAUGGAAGAAGAUUGAAAGACGGCUCUGCUGUCACUUAUAGAUGACCUUGCGGUGCAUUAGUUAGUUGGUGGGGUAACGGCCUACCAAGACGAUGAUGCAUAGCCGACCUGGGCGGGUGAUCGGCCACAUUGGGACUGAGACACGGCCCAAACUCCUACGGGAGGCAGCAGUAGGGAAUCUUCCGCAAUGGGCGAAAGCCUGACGGAGCAAUGCCGCGUGAGUGAAGAAGGCCUUCGGGUCGUAAAACUCUGUUAUAAGAGAAGAACAAAUUGUAGAGUAACUGCUACAGGCUUGACGGUAUCUUAUCAGAAAGCCACGGCUAACUACGUGCCAGCCGCCGCGGUAA
rnacentral:rRNA from 1 species